rnacentral:tRNA from 2 species
GCCUCCUUAGCUCAGUGGUAGAGCGCGUCACUAGUACUCCAGGUCGCCUCCGGUUCCUCGUGGAAUCGCCAUGACGAGGUCAGUCGUUCAAAUCGGCUAGGAGGCA